rnacentral:rRNA from 1 species
UACGUAGGUGGCAAGCGUUGUCCGGAAUUAUUUGGGCGUAAAGCGCGCGCAGGCGGCCUCUUAAGUCUGAUGUGAAAGCCCCCCGGCUCAACCGGGGAGGGCCAUUGGAAACUGGGAGGCUUGAGUAUAGGAGAGAAGAGUGGAAUUCCACGUGUAGCGGUGAAAUGCGUAGAGAUGUGGAGGAACACCAGUGGCGAAGGCGACUCUUUGGCCUAUAACUGACGCUGAGGCGCGAAAGCGUGGGGAGCAAACAGG